AAGGGAGACCUAAUUCAGGUAGGAGACGAAAAAAAGUAGUCCCUACCAAGAAUCAAUCCCAAAAGGUCGGAGCGAGGCAAAAUUGGCUUUCAAACUAGGUUCUGGGUUCACAUAAGACCUGAAUCAGGAACAAGGGCUACUAGCUCAGGUGGUUAGAGCGCACCCCUGAUAAGGGUGAGGUCCCUGGUUCGAGUCCAGGAUGGCCCACCUGCACAGGUGGCAAAAACAAAGAAAAGAAGCUCCGAAUCAGCACCUUAUCUUACUCAUAUAGUAAGAGAGAAUGCUGGCUCUGAGUUCAGAGUCCAGAGGAACCUUGAAAACUGCAUAGAGCUAGGUGAAAAAGCCAAAAAAGAAGACCGCAGGGUCAAGCUAAUAAGGGCUAACGGUGGAUACCUAGGCAC
rnacentral:tRNA from 1 species